CUAGCCCAACCAACCUCAAGCUAUAAUACUAUUAGACUGUAAAACAAAACAUUUAGUCACACCCUUAAAGUAUAGGAGAUAGAAAUUUUAAAUUGGAGCUAUAGAGAUAGUACCGUAAGGGAACGAUGAAAGAUAUUUUAAAAGUAUAAAACAGCAAAGAUUACCCCUUCUACCUUUUGCAUAAUGAACUAGCCAGAAAUAACUUAACAAAGAGAACUUAAGCUAAGUCCCCCGAAACCAGACGAGCUACCUAUGAACAAUCUAAGAGGAUCAACUCAUCUAUGUGCCAAAAUAGUGAGAAGAUUUAUAGGUAGAGGUGAAAAGCCUACCGAGCCUGGUGAUAGCUGGUUACCCAUGAACAGAAUUUCAGUUCAACUUUAAAUUUACCUAAAAAACAUAGAAUUCUAAUGUAAAUUUAAAAUAUAAUCUAAAAAGGUACAGCUUUUUAGAAUAAGGAUACAACCUUCAUUAGAGAGUAAGUAUUUAAGUAUA
rnacentral:rRNA from 1 species